GUCGAACUGUGCGAACGUUAUUCGGAAUCACUGGGCUUAAAGGGUGCGUAGGUGGCGCGUUAAGUCAGGUGUGAAAUUUCGGAGCUUAACUCCGAAACUGCAUUUGAUACUGGCGUGCUUGAGGACUGGAGAGGAGACUGGAAUUCAUGGUGUAGCAGUGAAAUGCGUAGAGAUCAUGAGGAAGACCAGUGGCGAAGGCGGGUCUCUGGACAGUUCCUGACACUGAGGCACGAAGGCCAGGGGAGCAAACGGG
rnacentral:rRNA from 1 species